AAGCAAACCCCCAAUAACCACUGACAACUAAAAUGAACGAAAAUUUAUUUACCUUAUUCGCAACUCCAAUAAUCCUAAACCAACCUGCUACAAUCCCCAUCAUCAUAUUCCCCGUACUACUAAUUCCAACUUCCAAACACCUCAUUAACAACCGACUAACCACUAUUCAACGUAACCUAGUACUACUCGCUCUAAAGCAAAUAAUAAUAACCCACAAUGCUAAGGGGCGAACCUGGUCCCUAAUACUAAUGUCUCUAAUCACCUUUAUCACCACAACUAAUCUUCUAGGACUUCUACCCCACUCAUUUACACCUACCACCCAACUAUCUAUAAACCUCGCUAUAGCAAUCCCCUUAUGAGCCGGCACAGUAAUUACAGGCCUUCGCUUUAAAACCAAAAACUCCCUAGCUCACCUCCUACCACAAGGCACACCAACAUUACUCAUUCCCAUACUAGUAAUAAUCGAAACCAUUAGCUUGAUUAUUCAACCAGUGGCCCUAGCUGUACGCUUAACUGCCAACAUCACGGCCGGCCACCUGCUAAUACACCUAAUCGGAAACACUGCACUAACACUACUAAGUAUCAGCCCCCCCGCUGCUUUACUAACCUUUACACUUCUAAUACUACUCACCAUCCUAGAGAUCGCAGUUGCUUUAAUCCAAGCCUAUGUUUUCACACUUCUAGUUAGCCUCUAUUUACACAACAACACCUAAUGACCCACCAAUUCCAUGCUUAUCACAUAGUCAAACCCAGCCCUUGACCACUAACAGGAGCUCUGUCAGCCCUUCUAAUAACAUCCGGCUUAGUCGUGUGAUUCCACUUCUAUUCUACCACUCUAUUGACACUAGGCCUACUAACCAUAACACUAACCCUUCACCAAUGAUGACGCGAUGUCGUACGAGAAAGCACCUAUCAAGGACAUCACACGACACCCGUUCAAAAAAACCUUCGCUAUGGCAUAGUCCUAUUCAUUAUCUCGGAAAUCUUCUUCUUUACCGGGUUCUUCUGAGCAUUCUACCACUCAAGCCUAGCCCCAACCCCCUAUUUAGGAGGCCACUGACCACCAACAGGUAUUACCCCAUUAGAUCCCUUAGAAGUACCCCUUCUAAACACCUCCGUAUUAUUAGCAUCAGGAGUCACAAUUACCUGAGCUCACCACAGCCUUAUAAACAACAAUCGAAAACAAACAACCCAAGCCCUACUCAUUACAAUUCUACUAGGCAUCUACUUCACCCUACUACAGAUCUCAGAGUACUUUGAAGCACCCUUCACCAUCUCCGACGGCAUCUAUGGCUCAACAUUCUUUAUCGCUACGGGCUUCCAUGGACUCCAUGUCAUCAUUGGAUCCACUUUCCUCCUUAUCUGCCUCAUUCGCCAACUAUUAUUCCACUUCACACCAAAUCACCACUUCGGCUUUGAGGCUGCCACUUGAUAUUGACACUUCGUAGACGUCGUAUGAUUACUCCUUUAUAUCUCUAUUUACUGAUGAGGAUCCUACUCUUUUAGUAUGACCAGUACAAUUGACUUCCAAUCAGUUAGCUUUGACAAUGUUCAAAAAGGAGUAAUCAACCUAGUACUAGCCCUAACAAUCAACACCCUUUUAACCUCACUACUAAUAACUGCCAUAUUCUGAUUACCCCAACUUAACUCCUAUGCAGAAAAAACAAACCCUUAUGAGUGCGGCUUUGACCCACUAAACCCCGCUCGCAUCCCAUUUUCAAUAAAAUUUUUCCUAGUUGCCAUUACCUUCCUACUAUUCGACUUAGAAAUCGCCCUACUAUUAUCCCUACCAUGGGCUCUCCAAACAACAAACCUCCCAACAAUAAUUAAAUCAUCCAUCACACUCAUCAUCAUCCUAACCCUCAGUCUAGCCUACGAAUGAUCCCAAAAAGGACUAGAUUGAGCCGAAU